ACACAUUAAAGGUAGCACUAACCCCAUACUCACCUGACAAGUCUAUUUUAUAAGCAUUGUCAUUGAUUCGCUCUAAGACUUGAAAUGGACCAUCACCACAAGCAUCCAACUUAUUCUUCCUCUGAUUUGGAAAUCGUUCCUUUCGGAAGUGCACCCAAACCCAAUCACUAGGAACAAACACCACUUUCUUCCGUCUCCUAUUUGCUCUGUCAGCAUACAGCUUGUUCCUCUUUUCUAUGUUAG
rnacentral:lncRNA from 1 species